rnacentral:rRNA from 1 species
GACGAACGCUGGCGGCGUGCUUAACACAUGCAAGUCGAACGGAAAGGCCCUGCUUUCGUGGGGUGCUCGAGUGGCGAACGGGCGAGUAACACGUGAGUAACCAGCCCUUGACUGUGGGAUAACUUCAGGAAACUGGGGCAAAUACCGGAUAGGAGCUGCUGCUCAUUGGUGGGGGUUGGAAAGUUUCGGCGGUUGGGGAUGGACUCGCGGCUUAUCAGCUUGUUGGUGGGGUAGUGGCUUACCAAGGCUUUGACGGGUAGCCGGCCUGAGAGGGUGACCGGCCACAUUGGGACUGAGAUACGGCCCAGACUCGUACGGGAGGCAGCAGUGGGGAAUAUUGCACAAUGGGCGGAAGCCUGAUGCAGCAACGCCGCGUGCGGGAUGACGGCCUUCGGGUUGUAAACCGCUUUCGCCUGUGACGAAGCGUGAGUGACGGUAAUGGGUAAAGAAGCACCGGCUAACUACGUGCCAGCCGCCGCGGUAAUAC